rnacentral:lncRNA from 1 species
UGCAAUUGGCAUACAAACAUCACAACUGUAAGCAGUUUUUUUUUUUUGGUUAAAAACUGUAAGCAGUUGCACUUACAUAGGUUUACUAAUCACAGCAACUGUUAUGUACGGCUUCAUAAAGCUUUAAAUCGAGUUCAUUCUUUCAAAAAUAUUGUAGGAAUUUUCUCAUCUUCUAUAACAUAUUUAUCCGUUUUCGGUCCAGGGAGUCCCAUAAUUCUGCUUCUGCCGAGGAAGUUUGCCGCACUAGAGACAACCAAGGAGAGAGAGGUCGACAUCAGGCCUCUUAUCGCAAAGAGGACAAGGGGUUCAGAUCUGCUCGAAACCCUGUUCACCGUGAGGAGAGAGCUCGCCACCAAGGAAGCUCCAACACUUCUCUCUCCCUAAAGACUUUUCCAACUCUGCUCCCUCCC